rnacentral:rRNA from 1 species
GACGAACGCUGGCGGCGUGCUUAACACAUGCAAGUCGAACGGAAAGGCCCUGCUUUUGUGGGGUGCUCGAGUGGCGAACGGGUGAGUAACACGUGAGUAACCUGCCCUUGACUUUGGGAUAACUUCAGGAAACUGGGGCUAAUACCGGAUAGGAGCUCCUGCUGCAUGGUGGGGGUUGGAAAGUUUCGGCGGUUGGGGAUGGACUCGCGGCUUAUCAGCUUGUUGGUGGGGUAGUGGCUUACCAAGGCUUUGACGGGUAGCCGGCCUGAGAGGGUGGCCGGCCACAUUGGGACUGAGAUACGGCCCAGACUCCUACGGGAGGCAGCGGUGGGGAAUAUUGCACAAUGGGCGGAAGCCUGAUGCAGCAACGCCGCGUGCGGGAAGACGGCCUUCGGGUAGUAAACCGCUGUCGCCUGUGACGAAGCGUGAGUGACGGUAAUGGGUAAAGAAGCACCGGCUAACUACGUG